AGGGCGCACAGUCAGUGGGGGUAGACGCGAAACCAAGUGAUCUACACUUGGCCAGGAUGAAGUCCCGGUAACACGGGAUGGAGGUCCGCACCAAUAAGCGUUGAAAAGCUUCUGGAUGAGCCGAGUGUAGGAGUGAAAGGCCAAUCAAACUUGGAGAUAGCUCGUACUCCCCGAAAGGCAUUUAGGUGCCGCGUCGGAUGGUCACCGUGAGAGGUAGAGCGACCGAUAGGACAAGAGGGCUUCACCGCCUAUCGAGUCCUGACGAACUCCGAAUGCUCACGGUCUGCAGUCCGGCAGUAAGGGGGCGGGUGCUAAGGUCCGUCCCCGAGAGGAGAAGAAUCCAGACCGCCGUCUAAGGUCCCGGAGUUCUGCCUGAGUUAGUCUAACGAAGUCUGGUCCCUAUGACAGCUAGGAUGUUGGCUUGGAAGCAGCCAUUCAUUCAAAGAGUGCGUAACAGCUCACUAGUCGAGGGUCCGGGCAUGGAUAAUAAUCGGGUAUAAGGCAGACACCGAAGGCGCGGGAUAGCAAUUAUAAAAGUAUCGGUAGGGGAGCAUACUCACAGCGUCGAAUGGUGUACGUAAGUUAUCCUGGAGCGGUGAGUAAAGCAAAUGUAGGAAUAAGUAACGAUAAGGAGGGUUAGAUUCCCUCCCGCUGUAAGACCAAGGUUUCCCGGGCAAUGCCAAUCAGCCCGGGGUCAGUCGGGUCCUAAGUCUAAGCCGAACGGCGAUGGCGAUGGCAGAGACGGUUAAUAUUCCGUCACUGCCGCAUGGGGCGACGUGGAGACGGAGCAGUGAAACCACCGCGGGGCGACGGAAGUCCCCGUUGAAGAGUGUAGGCGUUGAGGAUGGCAGGCAAAUCCACCAUCCGAGCUGAACUUGACAGUACGGAGUCCUCCUCGGAGGAAUCUGAUAGUGUGGGUAA
rnacentral:rRNA from 1 species